AACGAACGCUGGCGGCAGGCCUAACACAUGCAAGUCGAAGGAGAAGCCAUCUUCGGAUGGUGGAAACUGGCGCACGGGUGAGUAACGCGUGGGUAUCUACCUUGGGGUGGGGAAUAACCGCUGGAAACGGCGGCUAAUACCGCAUACGCCUUUAGAGGGAAAGCUCCGGCGCCCUAAGAGGAGCCCGCGUUGGAUUAGCUUGUUGGUGGGGUAAUGGCUCACCAAGGCUACGAUCUAUAGCUGGUCUGAGAGGAUGAUCAGCCACACUGGGACUGAGAUACGGCCCAGACUCCUACGGGAGGCAGCAGUGGGGAAUAUUGGACAAUGGGCGCAAGCCUGAUCCAGCCAUGCCGCGUGAGUGAAGAAGGCCUUAGGGUUGUAAAGCUCUUUCACCUGCGAAGAUGAUGACGGUAGCAGGAGAAGAAGCCCCGGCUAACUCCGUG
rnacentral:rRNA from 1 species